UAGCUAGUUGGUGAGGUAAAGGCUUACCAAGGCGACGAUCUGUAGCGGGUCUGAGAGGAUGAUCCGCCACACUGGAACUGAGACACGGUCCAGACUCCUACGGGAGGCAGCAGUGGGGAAUUUUGGACAAUGGGGGCAACCCUGAUCCAGCCAUGCCGCGUGAGUGAAGAAGGCCUUCGGGUUGUAAAGCUCUUUCGGCCGGGAAGAAAUCGCAUGGGCCAAUACCCUGUGUGGAUGACGGUACCGGAAUAAGAAGCACCGGCUAACUACGUGCCAGCAGCCGCGGUAAUACGUAGGGUGCGAGCGUUAAUCGGAAUUACUGGGCGUAAAGCGUGCGCAGGCGGUUUUGUAAGACAGGCGUGAAAUCCCCGGGCUUAACCUGGGAACUGCGUUUGUGACUGCAAGGCUAGAGUACGGCAGAGGGGGGUGGAAUUCCACGUGUAGCAGUGAAAUGCGUAGAGAUGUGGAGGAACACCAAUGGCGAAGGCAGCCCCCUGGGUCGAUACUGACGCUCAUGCACGAAAGCGUGGGUAGCAAACAGGAUUAGAUACCCGGGUAGUCCACGCCCUAAACUAUGUCAACUAGGUGUUGGGUGGGUAAAACCAUUUAGUACCGUAGCUAACGCGUGAAGUUGACCGCCUGGGGAGUACGGCCGCAAGGUUAAAACUCAAAGGAAUUGACGGGGACCCGCACAAGCGGUGGAUGAUGUGGAUUAAUUCGAUGCAACGCGAAAAACCUUACCUACCCUUGACAUGCCAGGAACUUGCCAGAGAUGGCUUGGUGCCCGAAAGGGAGCCUGGACACAGGUGCUGCAUGGCUGUCGUCAGCUCGUGUCGUGAGAUGUUGGGUUAAGUCCCGCAACGAGCGCAACCCUUGUCGUUAAUUGCCAUCAUUUAGUUGGGCACUUUAACGAGACUGCCGGUGACAAACCGGAGGAAGGUGGGGAUGACGUCAAGUCCUCAUGGCCCUUAUGGGUAGGGCUUCACACGUCAUACAAUGGUCGGUACAAAGGGUUGCCAAGCCGCGAGGCGGAGCCAAUCCCAGAAAGCCGAUCGUAGUCCGGAUUGCAGGCUGCAACUCGCCUGCAUGAAGUCGGAAUCGCUAGUAAUCGUGGAUCAGCAUGUCACGGUGAAUACGUUCCCGGGUCUUGUACACACCGCCCGUCACACCAUGGGAGCGGGUUCCGCCAGAAGUAGGUAGCCUAACCGCAAGGGGGGCGCUUACCACGGCGGGGUUCGUGACUGGGGUGAAGUCGUAACAAGGUAGCCGUAGGGGAACCUGCGGCUG
rnacentral:rRNA from 1 species